UUAAGAAGGGGACGGAGGCACUAAGAUCAGAGCAGCUCUGAGGACUGUAGCUCCACCAAGCUGAGUCUGGAGUGGGAAGGCUCAGUGAAACCUGACUCUGUCUUUUUACUCUCCGCCCACACCUUUAAAGGAAGGACAAUCCACUAGACGCAUUCAGAGAUUCUGAUAUGAGGAUGAGUCUUCUGGUGAAAAAAGAAGAUGAGUGUUUUGGCUAUGGAGUUCUAUCAAAAUGCUCAGACUUUUUCUUAUUGACGGGGCAUUAGAAACAACACUGAGCAUUCCGUUAAGCCAGUUUUAACUCCUACAUAAUCGUGGUCUUUCGGACAUCAGCGACA